UCCCGCCCCUCUCCGCCCUCUCGGCGGGAGCGGCGCCCUCACAGGCGGCGGCGUAGGGGGCCAUCCCGAGCCGAGCCGCGCUGCUCUGCCGCCGGGCCGCGGGCGGCCGCUGAGGGCGGUUGUUAACGGCCCUCGGGGGCGGUUGCAGCGGGCGGCGGGGCGGGCGGGGUGAGGGCCUCGUCCCACCCCGAGCACACGCUGCCCUCCCCGCGACUGGGAGCUGCUGGAUGUGCCCUGUGGCAGCCCCGCAGCUUCUGCAGAGCCCUCGGCUCCGGUGUGAGCUGCCUUUCUGGCAGUUCCUCCCUCCUCAGAGAGGAGUUCCCGCCUGCACUGAAAGAAUAGCUCAACAUCUGUCAUCCCAUUCUCUGCCAUGGCCCAAAAUCAGUAAGACUACAGCUGUCCUGUUCCUUUCAGAUACUUCUGGGAUAGAGAGGUUGGGAGUUAUACCACAACUGCUGACUACUGGAUGAAGAUGGAAACAAGAGAUGUACAGUGUACACUAGUGCAUUCCUUGCAAGUCCCCAGAUAGUAUCUUUUGUGAUUUGUCUGUAUGGAAAAGAGGGAAAGGAAUGUGGAGGAAGGGAAGAGGCUGGGAAGAAUAUGUUCUCACCUUAAAAAAUGCUUAACUACUCUCAUCAGUUCUAAAGUUUAAAAUUUCAUCAGUUCAUUUGUUUAACAUCUAGCAAAUCAGUAAAUAUAUAUAUAUAUAUAUAACAGAAAUUCAAGACAAUUUUUGAUUGAAUUAUACUAUUCUCUUACAGUAGCAGUCAAAUUAGUAGUCAGUGGUAGAUUGUGUGUUUCUUUUCUUACAACCACAAUUAAGAGCUGCUGCAAUAAACCUCAGAGUCCCAACCAGUGGCAAUUACUUUAGGUAUACACUUCUCCAACCUGCAGUUUAAACUUCACAGUCCCAAGAUUUGGGGAAGGCAUCACAAAGUGCAAAAUUCUCAGAGGAAUUUAGGCAUUGUAAAAACAGGGGAAUCCACAAGCUGAAGUUAGGCCUUCGGGCUCCCUGUCACACCUAUGGUGACAGCCAAGCUGUGGUUAUGCGGUAAUUCUGAUUUGGCUGACAUCCAUGCUGCUGCUGAAAGAACAGCUCAGCUGCACAGUCAUGCUGUUACCUCCUGCGUAGACUGAAGUAUAUUGCAUAAUGUUUACUUGCUGAUCUUUGGCACAGAAAAAUGACGGCAAAAAGAAGGUGAUUUCUCAACAAGGCUGGUCUUGAUUCAUUCAGGAUUUUAUAAAUAAUAAUAAAUUAAUUACAUUUUUCCACAGAUGUACCAGUGUAAUCCCAAGAAAUUUACUUUUAGAAAAUGAUAGAAAAACAGGUUUAGGUUCACAGACACUACUGCAGAAUGCAGAAGAAAAGAACACCAGAAACAUGAAAAUCUGCACUGAAGAAGAGAAUCAUGCAUGAUGAAAUCCACCUUUACCCUUCAGUCUCUCUGGAUCAGGAACAGAAAAAAAUACCUACUGUUUAGUCAUCUUCUUUCCACAUAGCUGCCAAACUUUUUUUUGUACCCUGUGUGAAGUUCUUGUCUUCAUCAAACCCCUUGAUUUUUGGAGACAGCAACCAAUCUGGUUUUUAGCUUCUGGAUUUCAGAAUGGAAUUUCCUUGCACAAACAUCAGCCAAGGUAAUGCUGCACUGGACCUGCUACUCACAAGUGGGGAAGAAUGUGGAGGGAGAUGCAGAAAAUGGUGGGGAAUGAAGCCACAGUUGACAGUUUGAGUUGCAAUGAGUCUACAUUAUCAGUUGAAGGUUUAGAGAAGGACUGGGACGCAGAAUAAGGUAUCUGGACUUCUGACAGAAGAUUUCAUUUUGUUUAAGAAAAUGCAAGUCAGCAUGCCUGAAGAAGCUUCCAAAAGGAAGAAAGUUACUUUUUUUUUUUUUUUUCCCUUUGUUCUUUUCCUUUUUUCUUUAAGAUAGCUCAAGGAGAGCCCAGGAACAAACCAUUUGCUGAGGAAAAGAAGAGGUUUUGGCAGAAGGUACACUUGGCUAAGCAAGGAGAUUCCAAAUGAGUAGAAAACAACAGCAACAGUGAGAACAGGGAGCAUACAAGAAAUGGAAAAUAAAUUGGUCUUGUUUAAUUUGGAAAGGGGAAGGCAAAGAGACAAUAUACAUCUUUUUAACAGCCACCAAAACUGAGCUUGGCUCCAUCAUUGCUACAGAUCUCCUCCAAAUAGAUGCCCACUUUUGAAACUUGUCAUGAUCCUGAUGCAUUUUAUUUUCAGCACCAUUACUGGCAUUAGCUCUGGGAAUCUAGACAACACAAAGGGUACUACACUUAUUUUUCCAAGUGUAACAAAAAUGUCAAAUAGAAGAGUAAUAGGAACAAGUUACUUGAAGGAGGAACAUCUCAUAAGAACAAGUAGCACAGUUCAGGUCAUUAAUGCUUUAUUUGAACAAUUGGAAUGAUAGCUGAAGCUAUUCAGUUGUUUUAAUGUGGUUUUUUGGAAUUAGCUGACAUUAUAUCUAGGAAGGAGUGAAGUCUUAUUUAGAAGGAAUUUUAUGUUACCUAUGCGUUUCUUUUGUGGAAAUUUGAUUUGCUGCCUAUAUUAAAAAAAAAGAAAAAACAAACAAACUAUUUUUUUUCAAUAAAGGGACUGAAAUUAAAUUUAACAUAUAUUUUACAAUCCCAAACCAGAUUGUAAAGGUUUGCAGUGAGUAACACAGAAUGGUCACGUAAUAUAAUGGUAGUUACUGUGGUACUGUUUCUAACAAGUUGGGCUUUAGUUACAGCUGCCUAGCCUCCUGCUGCACUGUGAAGUCUUUUUAUCUUGGAAUUGAAAAUAGCUUUCAAAUAUUCAUAAUUCCUUAGUGGAGUACUUUUAAAGAUACUGUAUUGUUUUCUGCUACCAUUAAUUACCAGUGAUUUAUUUACAAGACAAUAAUUGAUUAUACUUCUGGGAUGCUCAGGAAUCUAACAUAAAUCAAAGCAGACUUGAUAAGAAGCGAUGAAAGUCUCACAUAAUUAAGCAAAGCACUGGAGACCAAUUGUUUAUAGAAUGAUUUUGCUGGGGCUAAUUGACACUAAUUAUUUAAUCUGAUUUUCUUCUUCACGUUAAUGCUUCUACCAGCUCACUGUUCUCUGCUGGUGACACAUGCAUGUUUGACUUUAUCAAGGUGUUCUCACUGUAUCAAUACAAAGGAUUUUCAGCUAUUAUCUCCACUAGACUAUUUUUUUUUCAUAUCAGUGCAAGAGAGAAGGAUGGAAAAUUGUGAUCUUUAAGUCUUGUUAAUUUCUUAACUACAUGGAGUAUUGAAGUGUAAAAAUUAGGCAAAACAAUAACUUAGAUGGUGAUAAAAUUAAUUAUACAGUAGAAGAAGCCUUAGGACAAAAGCAAGCAUGUUUGCAGAUCAAUUGAACGUUUAGCUCACUUGGUACAACUCUCCAGCUGUGGGAAAUUUUUAGUAAAAUCUUAUUUCUUGAUAAAAUCACUUCUCUCAUGUUUAAGUAUGUCCUGUUUGAUAAGCAUCGGUGCUUGGUUCAAGAUGCUGUUAAUGAAAUUUUUUAAUUUCUUGCCUGGAACCAGACUGAAGACCCAGAGUACCUCUUCUGCUAUUUUACUGGAUCAUGACUUUGGUCCAUGACUUGCAAGCAUUGACAUUGGUGAGAAUUUUCAGAAUAUAUUUGUGUACUGUCCGAAGCCAGAAGGGACAAUAUUUCAUUGCAUCUUUUUAAAAUAAUAGAAUCAUUUUCAAAAUUCCAAGUAUGCUCCAGUUGUCAGGACCCCGUGUCAUGUUCUGUAGUUACAUAUCUAUUCAGAUGAGGAAUUAGCUUUGCAUUCUAACACAAGCAGUUCAGGCAUCCUGAUUAUGACUGCUUACUGUUACUCUGACAGCACAGAGAAUGUCCUUCUUCAAAAAGCCACCACUUUUGCUUCUUCAAAUUGGUCUUCAGGCUUUACUUUUGAGCAAAGGAGAAGUUCGAACAAGUGGUACAAGGUCAAGUUUUGCAGACUACCACCCCCAAUACUUCAUAAAGUGAGCGACUCAAUGAAUAAAGACUGAUCAGAAAUAUCUAAACACUGGUCACAUGUGGUAGUAACUACAGAAAUUGUGAUCUAUUCAGGAUAUUGAUACUACAACUAAUGUCACUGAGUAAUGUUUUGAAUAGGGAGUUACAAGCAUCCAUUACUAAUUAGUUUUUACUAAAUUGCUUCAUAACCAAAAUCCUUAUUUAUGACAAGUGUUUUCCUAUCAUGGGAUAUGUACACGCAAAUUUAUAUCCCACAGAAUCUCUGGUCUGUUACUGCUGUGAUUUCUAUUUAAACUUCUAAAAUACCAAAGUACACUCGAAUAAAAGCUGCUGUAGUAUAGAAAACUGUAUACAUGCAAGUAUUAGCAUUAAAGGAAUUUAUUAUUAUAAGUUUUUAAUAAUAAACCAUGUACUGAUAAUGAA